GACGAACGCUGGCGGCGUGCCUAAUACAUGCAAGUAGAACGCUGACGACGGGUCUUGCUCUUCGGCAUUAGUUUCGCACAGGGGAGUAACGCGUAGGUAUCCUGCGUGGUAGCGGGGGGGAACUCUUGGAAACGAUGGCUAAUACCGCAUAACGGUAGAUGUUGCAUGAGGUUUGCUUAAAAGGUGCAAUUGCAGCACUACCAGAUGGACCGGCGUUGCAUUAGCUAGUUGGUGGGGUAACGGCUCACCAAGGCGACGAUACAUAGCCGACCUGAGAGGGUGAUCGGCCACACUGGGACUGAGACACGGCCCAGACUCCUACGGGAGGCAGCAGUAGGGAAUCUUCCGCAAUGGACGGAAGUCUGACCGAGCAACGCCGCGUGAGUGAAGAAGGUUUUCGGAUCGUAAAGCUCUGUUGUAAGAGAAGAACGAGUGCGAGAGUGACAAGUUCCCCCUGUGCCGGAAUCAUACAAGAAAGCGCCGGCUACCACCGUG
rnacentral:rRNA from 1 species